AUGGGUGAGCGGCGGGGCCGCGGCACGGACUCCAAAUCCGAGGCCCGGGGGUUCGAGUCCCUCCACCUAUGCCA
rnacentral:tRNA from 1 species